AUGCAGCUGACGAGUCCUAAAUAGGACUAAAUGCGUGUCAAAUUGGAU
rnacentral:hammerhead_ribozyme from 1 species